rnacentral:misc_RNA from 1 species
GAUGAAGAACGUAGCGAAAUGCGAUACGUAAUGUGAAUUGCAGAAUUCAGUGAAUCAUCGAGUCUUUGAACGCACAUUGCGCCCCCUGGUAUUCCGGGGGGCAUGCCUGUCCGAGCGUCAUUGCUGCCCUCAAGCACGGCUUGUGUGUUGGGCCUCCGUCCUCCUCCCGGGGGACGGGCCCGAAAGGCAGCGGCGGCACCGCGUCCGGUCCUCGAGCGUAUGGGGCUUCGUCACCCGCUCUUGUAGGCCCGGCCGGCGCUUGCCGACACAUCAAUCUUUUUUCCAGGCUGACCUCGGAUCAGGUAGGGAUACCCGCUGAACUUAAGCAUAUCAAUAAGCGGAGGA